GCUAGUCGCUGCUGCUGGCGCGCACUCGCCGGGUUUUUCCUCCCACGGCCUCGAGAUGGUGGUGAAUGUGGCACGGAGGAGCCGGGCCUUCCAACCCGGUGGGCCCGAGCUCCGAAAGGCCCCCUCGGCAGUGAGAGGGGCGGGAGCCCGCGGGGGCCGCGCCCUUCUCUCGCUUCGGACUGCGCAACGCUGCGCUCUGGGCUGACAGGCGGAUAAAACGGUCCCAUCAAGACUGAGAAAAAGCACACCAGCUAUUGGCACAGCGUGGGCAGUGGGGCCUACAGGAUGACUGACUUAGUCUACAGAGAUCCCGGCGUACUUAAGCAGAUGAAGACUCUUAAGAUGACAGAAGGUGAUUUUUCUGGUGAUCGAGGACUUCCGGGGUAAUGACAGUGAUGAAAUGCAGGGGACCUGGUUGCCCCCAAGUUUCCUGGCAGUGUGUGAUACUGAGGAGGUGAGCUUGUUUCUGGAGCUGUGCUUUAAGGUAAAGUUGAUCAGCUUAAUCCUCCUGAUCCCUUUCCCAUCGGAUCUGAACACUGGUCUUGGUGGUCGUAAAAGGAGGAAAAGUAAUAGUGAAGCUGGCCUAAAUGUUGUAAUCUGGUAUAUGGCAUGUGGGCUAGUUUCAGACAGGUUUCAGAGAUGGUUGGAUCUCUGAAAUUGUAAAAUGAAGUAUAAUCUUAGGCUAAGGGAAGGAUGCGUGUGAAGCUCUGGAGGUUGGUAUAGUAAUAGCUGACCUAUUACUGCAUUUGGGAGGGAUCUGUCAUAGCUUCCUUGCCUCUUAAUUAAGGGUGGUGUUUUUUUCUUUUAGAUUCAUGUUACAUGUAAAGCUGUCCUCAUUUGUGACUAUGGACCUAUGGAGUUGGGACAAUCUCUAUGGGAAGCAGAAGGCAAGGACCCCG
rnacentral:lncRNA from 10 species